rnacentral:rRNA from 1 species
GACGAACGCUGGCGGCGUGCUUAACACAUGCAAGUCGAACGGAAAGGCCCUGCUUUUGUGGGGUGCUCGAGUGGCGAACGGGUGAGUAACACGUGAGUAACCUGCCCUUGACUUUGGGAUAACUUCAGGAAACUGGGGCUAAUACCGGAUAGGAGCUCCUGCUGCAUGGUGGGGGUUGGAAAGUUUCGGCGGUUGGGGAUGGACUCGCGGCUUAUCAGCUUGUUGGUGGGGUAGUGGCUUACCAAGGCUUUGACGGGUAGCCGGCCUGAGAGGGUGACCGGCGACAUUGGGACUGAGAUACGGCCCAGACUCCUACGGGAAGCAGCAGUGGGGAAUAUUGCACAAUGGGCGGAAGCCUGAUGCAGCAACGCCGCGGGCGGGAUGACGGCCUUCGGGUUGUAAACCGCUUUCGCCUGUGACGAAGCGUGAGUGACGGUAAUGGGUAAAGAAGCACCGGCUAACUACGUG